AUGUGCCGUGGCAGCUGAGUGUGACCUAGCGCAGAACAGGGCUUCUCUCUUGCGUCCUCCGUGGGGAGUCCGGGAGAGGGACUUGGUCCUUCUGGCUGACUCCCUGCUUGGAAGGUGUGCUGCCCUCUCAGAUUCCCAACUUCUUCUGGAGCCUGGGGAUCGGUCACACUGGUGCGUGGUGGCAUACUGGGAGGAGAAGACGAGAGUGGGGAGGCUCUACUGUGUCCAGGAGCCCUCUCUGGAUAUCUUCUAUGAUCUACCUCAGGGGAAUGGCUUUUGCCUCGGACAGCUCAAUUCGGACAACAAGAGUCAGCUGGUGCAGAAGGUGCGGAGCAAAAUCGGCUGCGGCAUCCAGCUGACGCGGGAGGUGGAUGGUGUGUGGGUGUACAACCGCAGCAGUU
rnacentral:sRNA from 1 species